AAGUCGUAACAAGGUAACCGUAGGUGAACCUGCGGUUGGAUCAUUAAAAAGUUUGAAAAGGGUUAACGUCAAAGAUGCUUUUAGUUUAGUUAAUUUUUUGGCCGUUUCGUUCAUUCAUUCGUUCAAUUCUGAUACUGUUUUUUCAGCAUCUUUGACUUAGUCCCUUAUCAAAAACCAACCCUGUGUGAACUGUUUUGUCUCUGGCGGCUGGGUAGGGAUAUACUUUGUGUAACCCUAUCUGUCAGCUUGGUCUUAUCUGAGCCGUGGACAACCCGCCAAACAUUACUGAACAAACUUAGCUAAUUUUUUCUGUCUAAUAUCUGAUUUGUAUAAAUGUACAAACAACUUUUGGCAACGGAUCUCUUGGCUCUC
rnacentral:misc_RNA from 1 species